UCGACUCUGCACAAUGCACGUGCAAGGGUGGUGUUGACGGCCGCUGCAAACAUGUUGCGGCUGUUGUUGCGACGGUGAACUGCCCUGAAGAUGAUUCGUGCACUGGACUACCGCAGGCGUGGGGUCGACCUGGGUACAGGGCAGCGGACAGCGGCUUGCGGCGACCAUUUGAAGAGGUUUACCCGAGUGGUUUCAGGAGAGGUUGACACGUCUCACCAGCACGGAAUGCCAUAGGGUCCGCACAAGAGUAGCAGAUUUCGAGAAACUUGCCGCAAGCUUGAAAACUGCUCGGCCACUGAAGACGGCAGCCACUGCGUACGGCACGCAGAUGGAAAGCAGUGCAGUGAGAGAAUUUCAGAAGAAGUUUCCUGCAAUUGUAUAUCAGGCUGGGCUUCUGAUUCAUCCUGGACAGCAAUGGCUCUGGGCAAGCCCAGACGGCGUAGUGCGACUGGACGACGGGUUGUACCUUCUGGAAGUGAAAUGCCCGUUUGGUCGGAAGGGACAGUCAAUUAUCGACCACACGACUGCCACCAGCUACGCCCAGUACCUGUACUACGAUGAUGGCAAGCUCUGCUUGAAGAAGUCUCAUCAGUAUUACACCCAGAUACAGAUAGGAAUGUAUGUCAUGAAUGUAGCAGAAACUUUCUUUUUUGUAUAUUCCGAGGCACAGUCCAUUAACGUGAUGGUUGAACGAGAUGAUGAAUUCCUCAGUGAACUGAUUCCCA